rnacentral:rRNA from 1 species
AACGCAGGCGGACCGUUAAGUCGAAUGUGAAAGCCCGGGGCUCAACCCCGGAAGUGCAUUCGAAACUGGCGGUCUUGAGUACGGGAGAGGUGGGUGGAAUUCCUGGUGUAGAGGUGAAAUUCGUAGAUAUCAGGAGGAACACCGGUGGCGAAAGCGGCCCACUGGCCCGAUACUGACGCUCAUGUUCGAAAGCGUGGGGAGCAAACAGGAUUAGAUACCCUGGUAGUCCACGCCGUAAACGAUGAGUGCUAGCUGCUGGGGAUCUUUUAUUUUCCUCGGUGGCGUAGCUAACGCGUUAAGCACUCCGCCUGGGAAGUACGGCCGCAAGGCUAAA